GGGGAAUCUUGCGCAAUGGGCGAAAGCCUGACGCAGCAACGCCGCGUGCGGGAUGAAGGCCUUCGGGUUGUAAACCGCUUUCAGCAGGGACGAAAAUGACGGUACCUGCAGAAGAAGCCCCGGCUAACUACGUGCCAGCAGCCGCGGUAAUACGUAGGGGGCAAGCGUUGUCCGGAUUUAUUGGGCGUAAAGAGCUCGUAGGCGGUUCCGUAAGUCGAGUGUGAAAAAUCUGGGCUCAACCCAGUGGAGCACUCGAUACUGCGGUGACUAGAGUACGGUAGAGGAGUGUGGAACUCCUGGUGUAGCGGUGAAAUGCGCAGAUAUCAGGAGGAACACCAACGGCGAAGGCAGCACUCUGGGCCGGUACUGACGCUGAGGAGCGAAAGCGUGGGGAGCAAAC
rnacentral:rRNA from 1 species